UACAGGGGGGGCAAGCGUUGUUCGGAAUUACUGGGCGUAAAGGGCUCGUAGGCGGCCAACUAAGUCACACGUGAAAUCCCCAGGCUUAACCUGGGAACUGCGUGUGAUACUGGAUGGCUUGAAUUCGGGAGAGGGAUGCAGAAUUCCAGGUGUAGCGGUGAAAUGCGUUGAUAUCCUAAGGAACACCGGUGGCGAAAGCGGCUCACUGGACCUCUUCUGACGCUGAGGCACGAAAGCUAGGGUAGCAAACAGG
rnacentral:rRNA from 1 species